rnacentral:rRNA from 1 species
CACUCCUGCGGGAGGCAGCAGUGGGGAAUUUUGGACAAUGGGCGAAAGCCUGAUCCAGCAAUGCCGCGUGAGUGAAGAAGGCCUUCGGGUUGUAAAGCUCUUUUGUCAGGGAAGAAACGGUGAAAGCUAAUAUCUUUUGCUAAUGACGGUACCUGAAGAAUAAGCACCGGCUAACUACGUGCCAGCAGCCGCGGUAAUACGUAGGGUGCAAGCGUUAAUCGGAAUUACUGGGCGUAAAGCGUGCGCAGGCGGUUUUGUAAGUCUGAUGUGAAAUCCCCGGGCUCAACCUGGGAAUUGCAUUGGGGACUGCAAGGCUAGAAUCUGGCAGAGGGGGGUAGAAUUCCACGUGUAGCAGUGAAAUGCGUAGAUAUGUGGAGGAACACCGAUGGCGAAGGCAGCCCCCUGGGUCAAGAUUGACGCUCAUGCACGAAAGCGUGGGGAGCAAACAGGAUUAGAAACCCGUGUAGUCCCAUGAU